AUGGGAGUCGGCAAGUUCGUUAGCUCGAGCACAUUCAGCGUCGGCAGCUAUGGCUGGGACAUCAGGAUCUACCCUGAUGGAUGGGAGGAGGAGGACAAAGCCGCCUACAUGUCAGUCUUCUUGUGUUUCUGCAGUGGAGCAACAACGGCUGUGAAGGUGAGGUACACUUUCAGCUUACUGGGGAAAGAUGGAAAAAUUACUACUAAUCUAGAGGGCGGAACACAUACCUUUCGGUCGGUAGGUACUAUACGGGGCUGGCCCAGGUUUACCGACAAGUGCGAGCUCAAGGAAUUGCUACUCCGUGAUGAUGACUGCUUCACCAUCAGGUGUGUUUUGACCGUCAUAAAAGAGCCUCGCACGGAAGAUUUAAGCACAACUGAAGUCUCAGUUCCACAGUCAGACCUGCACACACACUUUGCUAACAUGUUGAAGGAUGGGCUAGGUGUGGAUGUGACAUUCAGCGUCGGCGGUCAACUCUUCACUGCACAUAGAUGCGUGUUAGCUGCACGAUCCUCGGUUUUCAAGGCUGAGCUCUUUGGUCCAAUGAAGGAGUCCACCAUGAAGUGCAUCAAGAUCGAUGACAUGGAGCCUUCUGUCUUCGAGGCACUUCUUCACUUCAUAUACACAGAUUCUCUGCCAAGUGACUUGGAUCAGGAUCAGAAUGUGGAAUUGCAGCACCUGUUGGUUGCCGCAGAUCGGUAUGGACUAGAGAGGCUAAAGGCUAUGUGUCAAGGGAAGCUAUGCCAGAAAAUUGAUGUGCAAACAGUUGCAACCACCCUUGCUUUAGCGGAGCAGCACCACGCCGCGCAACUCAAGAAUGCUUGUCUCAGAUACCUUUCUUCACAGGAGGUGCUUCGAGCUGUCAAGGAGACUGAUGGAUUCAAGCACCUCACAGCAAGCUGCCCGUGGAUUAUGGACAUUUUAGAGAAGGUUGCGCCACCGUCAGGAGUAUGA
rnacentral:rRNA from 1 species